rnacentral:rRNA from 1 species
UACGUAGGGUGCAAGCGUUGUCCGGAAUUAUUGGGCGUAAAGAGCUCGUAGGCGGUUUGUCGCGUCGAAUGUGAAAACCCGGGGCUCAACCCCGGGCCUGCAUUCGAUACGGGCAGACUAGAGUUCGGUAGGGGAGUCUGGAAUUCCUGGUGUAGCGGUGAAAUGCGCAGAUAUCAGGAGGAACACCGGUGGCGAAGGCGGGUCUCUGGGCAGUAACUGACGCUGAGGAGCGAAAAGCGUGGGGGAGCGAACAGG